UACGUAGGGGGCUAGCGUUGUCCGGAUUUAUUGGGCGUAAAGAGCGUGUAGGCGGUCAGGUAGGUCUGCUGUGAAAACUCGAGGCUCAACCUCGAGACGUCGGCGGAAACCAUCUGGCUAGAGUCCGGAAGAGGAGAGUGGAAUUCCUGGUGUAGCGGUGAAAUGCGCAGAUAUCAGGAAGAACACCCGUGGCGAAGGCGGGUCUCUGGACAGUACCUGACGCUGAGGCACGAAGGUCAGGGGAGCAAACGGG
rnacentral:rRNA from 1 species